rnacentral:rRNA from 1 species
AUUGAACGCUGGCGGCAGGCCUAACACAUGCAAGUCGAGCGGUAGAGAGGUGCCUGCAUCUCUUGAGAGCGGCGGACGGGUGAGUAAUGCCUAGGAAUCUGCCUAGUGGUGGGGGAUAACGUUCGGAAACGGACGCUAAUACCGCAUACGUCCUACGGGAGAAAGCGGGGGAUCUUCGGACCUCGCGCCAUUAGAUGAGCCUAGGUCGGAUUAGCUAGUUGGUGAGGUAAUGGCUCACCAAGGCGACGAUCCGUAACUGGUCUGAGAGGAUGAGCAGUCACACUGGAACUGAGACACGGUCCAGACUCCUACGGGAGGCAGCAGUGGGGAAUAUUGGACAAUGGGCGAAAGCCUGAUCCAGCCAUGCCGCGUGUGUGAAGAAGGUCUUCGGAUUGUAAGCACUUUAAGUUGGGAGGAAGGGUCGUAACCUAAUACGUUGCGGCUUUGACGUUACCGACAGAAUAAGCACCGGCUAACUUCGUGCCAGCAGCCGCGGUAACAC